UUUUUUAGUUAGAGUUAAUUUGUGAAAUUAAGAAUUUUAUAGUCAUUUUUUAUACAUAAGAAUUUUAUUGUGUUUACCUUAGCCUUCUUAAAAAUAUUUCCUAGCAGCGCCACUUACCGCAACCCAAAUCCACCAUGACCACCACCCAACUGCAGGCUGAUAGCAAAAAUCCAGCAAACCACAAGCUACAACACAACCCACCACCCAUAGCCCAGCCCAAAACCACCAAAAAAAUAUUAAAAGAAAUAGAAAAGGAGAGUAGAGAAGAGAAAGAGAUUGAUGGAGCUUUGGCCAUGGAGGAGUAGAGGAGCCAAGAGAGAGAGAGACCGAUUUCGGAGCUUGGGCCACGGUUGUUGAAAGCUUAGAGAGUUAGAGAGAGAAGAGAUAAUGAGAGGAGAGAGUGACUCUGUGGAGACUCUGUGACCUCUCCACCCUUUUGUAUAAACUCUUUCUAGUAAUGAAUCUCCUUUUAUGGAAAAAAAAUACACUUUCGGUGCAUUUUCGGCUCAAUUUUUCUUAUUCCAGACAACAAGUUUGACUUGAGCUCUUACGUAUAGUUUUCUCUUUAGAGAAGUGUUACUGGCCUAACAUCUUUACACUCUGGGGGUGUUUUGAUUUAACUUGACAUAAACAAGUGUAAGCAUUUAAUGCUGUGGAUGGAAGCCUCUGCAGCUACUUGCAUAUAUGCAUUAGUACCUUACUAGAUAUAUCACAGAGGGGCAGAUAUGUAUUGACAGGCAGUUUGCACAAGUGACAGGUCUCACCUUCUCAAUCUCUCUGCCACUGCACCAGCCACAGUCAGGUAAGUCUGGCUCUACCUAAUGAAGAUGAACUUAUUGCCUUGGGAAUUGCUUUGUCUUGUGCAAAUGGGUUUCCUCCGAUUGAGAGGGAAAAUAAAAAUUCGACACAAUCAUUGUUACAAAAACUAAAACCAGCAACUGGCUUUUGCUAGAAAAGGGUAUCAGAAUAGUUGUUUUGACCCUUGGUUCAGCUUCAGAUGGAGUGUUCUUAUGCACUAAAGGGGGAUCUAGCUUCAUGAGAAUUGGAUUGGAGAGAAUCAAACCGUGUGGCCCUUGUGGGCAAUUUUAUAAGCUUGUGGGCAAUUUUAUAAGAUUGUGACAUCAAGCUCUCAUCCACAUUGGUUUGGUACUACAGAUUUGGAAAGAGAUUCUCAUCUUUUUGUUGUGCAUUUCCCCAGCGUCAGUUGUGACCGUGAGGCUCACAGGGGCUGGUGAUUGCUUGGUUGGUGGGAAGCUUGCUUCUAUUUGUGCACGUUUAAAUUUUAUGCAGAGUGUGGCAUUUGGAAUUGCAGCAGCCAGAGCUGCUGUCGAGGCAGAGAUGUGCCUACUACAUUUAGUUUGGCCACAAUUAUAGGUUAUUGGUAUCCUCACAGAAACAUAUUUAGCCUUGUUGAUGAACUGGGUAUCAAGCCCUUCACGAACUGGACAAAAUCUGCACAGAAUUCCUGGGAGGGGUUAUCACCAGCAUUCUUUUAUCUUCUUGUUUGAUGGAUAUUUGAUAUGCAGAUUUUUUCCCAAAGUUCCAAUUCUAUUGAUUUGUUAAUCUUAGUUUGCAGUUAAGAUGUUUUCUCUAUGAGCCUUUUUGGUAGUGGAAUGGUGAAGAAAUCUCAUAAUAUAUUAUUGCUUAUCAAGAAUCACAUUGAGUUCAAGGACAAUGGCUUUUAAAUUGUUUUAACAAAACCAAAGCCAUCCUUCGGGUUGAAUUUCAUUACUUGUUAUUUUCUUUCCAUUUCAAGUGUUGUUAGACUUAUUUCAAGCUAUAUGCAAACUAUGCUAUUGAGAAAGAUGUCCAGGCAAUGAAAGCUAUGGUUGGAGAAGAUGCACUUUCCUCUGUAUUUGGAAUUCUUGGAUAAAUCAGAGAGGAAAUUUGUGAUCCAAGGAGCUUACAACACCCGCAAUAUCACCUAGUCGCAAGAUUUGUCAUGGACACUCCUUUGUAUUUUCCCGCAUAUGGUAGAGCAAUCUUCAGAUGGUCUUUCUGGCAAUUGGGCCAGGCACAGGAACAGAAAUGCUGGUGAGGGAGUGAUGAGCUUUGCUUAUGAGAAGCACUUCAUCUUCUGAUGCCUGUGGGGAAUAGAAUGUUAUUUGGGCUAAGCCAUUGCCAUUAUUCUUUUGCAUAUAUUAUAUAUUAAUUUAUUUUUGAUAUGUUUGAUUUCAUGUCUUGAAGUUUUAGGUUUUAGAUGACCUGUAGUUUCCUUAUUUAUGUAUUUUUCAAAGGCUUGUUCACUGUUAGCAAUGCUUUGAUUGAAUAUAAGUGUAACUAUGGAAUUGAUUGCCAUUCUCGGUAGUCAUUGCUUCUGAAGAGACUUUUUUGGAUAUCUUGCACAA